AUGGCGUACAAGCUCCAGCUGCCAGACGACAGUCGCAUCCACCCUGUCUUUCAUGUUUCCCAGCUGAAGCCCUUCACGUCGGAUUACUCACCGGUCUUCUCUGAGCUACCAUGCGCCCCGGACCUCACCGCUGCUACACAACCCAUCGCCAUCCUGGAUCUUCAGUUGGUCAAGAAAGGGAGCAGCUCCACUGUGCAGGUGCGCGUGCAAUGGUCGUCACUAUCUCCAGAGUCUGCAACUUGGGAGGAAUACAACAUGCUGCGGCACCGCUACCCAACGGCACCUUCCUGGGAAGAUGAGGCUCACGCUCAAGGAGGGGCAAAUGUCACACCUGAUACCAAUGUAUCGGUGGACAAGUAG
rnacentral:rRNA from 1 species